ACAAUCUGCUGAUUCCUUGUCAAGCGUAGUUCAACCUGAAUAUAUCGUUGAACACAUAAAAGCUUCCUUGUGGCGUCGGCAUCAAAUGAAACAUCUGCAUCACACAAUUAAAAAAAAAAGAGUUUUUUUUUAUAGCUGUCUUAAAACAACAAGAUCAAGGAUACCAAACAAAUAAGAAAAAAAAAACAAAAAGAUAUCAAAACAAGAACACGCCAAAGCAGAUCUAAUUAACUCAAUCAACCCUAACUAAAAUCGAAAAGAGAGGGAGAGGGAGAGAGACCUGGCUGAACUUGAGGGCGUGCUCCUCGCCGGCGAGCUGGAGGUUGCCGGAGACGAAAACGAGCAUACCGGAGGCGGGACCAGAAGGCUGACAGUCGACGGUGGAGAUGUUGUGCUUGCACUGCUGGAAAGGGAGAGAGGUGAGCUUGGCGACGAUGUUCUGAGAGCCCUGGAUCUUCUGACCCUCGAAGGUCAGCAUGGAAGCUUCCUGGUAGAGACCGGCGAGGCCGACGCGGUUGUUGUCGAAGGUCGAGUAGUAGUGCUCGACGAAGGCCUUCGCCACGGCAUCGGGAUCCAUCUGCGCCAUAUUAUAGAGAGAAUGAUAGAGAAUUUGGGAGCCGGAAAGGGUUUUGUGUUUUGUAUUUAUUUGUGAAACUCUGCGUUGCAACGACGCUGGUUCUUCUUUUUUUUUUUUUCCUUCAUUUUUCGGUUUUAUUUUGUUGUCGAGGUUUAUAGGAAUAUAUUAAUACAAGAGCGAUUUGCAUGUUAAAUAUAGAAAGAUUAAGUAAUUUGCGGAAAUGGAAAAAUGGAUGGCCCAAAUGUAUGGCCCAGCUCUUGCACAUGAGAAAAGACUGGGAUGACCCUAUAGCUUCUUUUUAACGUAGCGAAGCAGUAUGGUUUUGUAAUGAUUACAUGUAAUUAUUAAUAUAUAUAAUUUCACACGAAUAAAUAUGGUAUAUAAUGGAUACAUUAAUUAAUACACUCUUCGACCCUCUUCCAUCAUAUCAUCUCUCAUUGUUUCCAAUUGCUUUGUUUAUUCCGUCGUAAUCCUAGUUUCGAAUGUAAAUCGUCGCCGUCAAGAUUAUCUCUUUCAUGGCCAUACUUAUCCUUUCACCUCUGUUAACGUCGAGUUUGAGACUGUCCCGAGAUUCACACUUGUACUUCGUCUUCCUCCUUCAUCUCUAUCUUACUUCGUCUUCCUCGUUCAUCUCGACGGAGCCGCCAUAAAUGUUUUUGCCUCAAGCUUCUUCUUCUUCGCCGGUCACCGGACCAUCUCCAUCGUCUUACCCUGUUGACAUCGUCAUGCUCGAUUCAAGCCUUGCCGCCCUGCUCAUCCUUGCCGUCUCUAUCUCGUCACGGAAUCUCGUCACAAAAGAGAUCGAGCAAUAAUGGCUAUUUCUUAUGUUUUGUAACACACGCCCUCCAACUUUUGGGUAUUCUCAAGUUGGCCCAAUAUUUCUAAGUGUACAAAUAGUUUUACGAAUCAACACCAAACUUUCACAUUCUAUA